rnacentral:rRNA from 1 species
AUUGAACGCUGGCGGCAUGCCUAACACAUGCAAGUCGAACGAGUGGGGGACGGGUGAGGAAUGUCUGUGAAACUGCCUGAUGGAGGGGGAUACCGACUCGAACACGUAGCUCAUACCGCAUACCAUCGGAUGUGCCCAUGGGGACUUAGCUAGUAGGUGGGGUAAAGGCUCACCUAGGCGACGAUCCCUAGCGGGCCUGAUAGGAUGAGCAGCCACACGUGAACUGAGACACGGUCCAGACUCUUACGGGAGGCAGCAGUGGGUAAUAUUGCACAAUGGGCGAAAGCCUGAUGCAGCCAUGCCGCGUGUAUGAAGAAGGCCUUCGGUUUGUAAAGUACUUUCAUCGGGGAAGCGUUAUCCACAGAAGAAGCACCGGCUAACUCCGUGCCAGCAGCCGCGGUAAUAC